GCUUGUUCAAUGCUCCAAUUAAAGAGUUGUCUUAGCAGUUGUGUGAAAAGCCAUUAAAAAAAAAUUUGUUUCAAAGAGCAAAUAAUGUUAUCCAGAAAUACUUGGGAAGGAUUCCUACAUAAAAUAGUGUUUCUUAAUGUUUUAAUAUUUCAAAGGUCUCUGAAAAAUAGAUUUGACUUAACAGAGCCCUUGUCUACCUGACAGGCUAUACAUGAAGUUUCUUAACUUUUUUAAAUGCCUUACCUUUUGUGCUAAACAUUACAGCUCCCCAGCCUGCUCUUCUCUGUGGGGAAUCACCAGUUUAAGAUUUUUUUCGCAUCCAUAAGGCCAACAUGAGUUGUAGUACACUCCUUAAAUGUAGUACACUCCUCUCUAAUUAAACACAAACACACAAGGUGACUGAGGUACAGAUCAGUUUUUAUUAGUAAAAAAUAUUUUAAACACCUCAACCACUUCUUUAAAAAAUAAAUCCUUACUUUCUAAGAAAUUCUAUUUGAAAAUUUUCCGGGAGAAAACAAUUAAAAUGUAGUCAGCUGUGGAUAUGCAGAGGCCAGGUUAUUUAUUCUAAACAAUACCUGGCUUUGUACUUUACAACAAACUGUGCAAUCACAUUUUAAUUACAGAUUGUUUAAGACCCCAAGCUUUUCUGUAUUCUGUAAACUCACCUCCUUUUUGUCCAACAAGAUUAUUUUCACCCAGAGGAUUCUCAAUAGCUGGUCUCAAUAAGAUGUAGGUACACAAUAAAUUCAAAAUACAUGACAAGCCAAAAACUAAAACUGAACACCUGAGGCAGCUAAGGUUUACAUUUACUUAAUCAGGGAUAUUGCAAAGUGCUUUAUAUAUUUAUUUACUUAUUUUUUUUAUUUUUUAAAUUUUUUAUUAAGGUAUGAUUGAUACACACUCUUAUAAAGGUUUCACAUGAAAAAACAAUGUGCUUACUACAUUUACCCAUAUUAUCAAGUCCCCACCCAUACCCCAAUGCAGUCACUGUUCAUCAGUGCAGUAAAAUGCCACAGAUACACUAUGUCCCUUCUCUGUGCUACACUGUUCUCCCCGUGACCCCCCACACCAUGUGUACUAAACAUAAUACCCCUCAAUCCGCUUCUCCCUCCCUCCCCAAUCCGGCCUCCCCUUUGGUAACCACUAGUUCAUUCUUGGAGUCUGAGUCUGCUAUUUUGUUCCUUCAGUUUUGCUUCGUUGUUAUACUCCACAAAUGAGGGAAAUCAUUCGGCCCAAAGUGCUUUGUAUCAACUAAAUCUUCGAGUGCCUUAAGGAGAAUGUAUUUAAAUAAUUUAUUUAAUAUAAUAAGCAUAAAUAACUUAAAUAUAAUGAGUAUUAAUAACGAACAACUCUAUUUUUGACUGAAUUAGUAGACAACGAAUAUUUUUUAAACUGUUGCACAGUCAAGCAAACUCCAAUCUGUUAGGAGACUGCAGGUACUUUGCGGUUCUACAAAGCUCAGCUUCACACCACAAAGCGUUUGCUUGCGAAUUCGGGACACAGCGCUACAGCAGCACAUCAAAUUUCAUUCCCUGACCCACGCACCCCGCCAACCGUAAAAACAAAACCACACUGAUGAAAAGCCAGGCAUCAGAGUUCGACAAGUCACGGAAGACAGAAGGCAGCGAGGACCCCUCGCCCGCCCAGCCCGUCCAGCCAGUCCACAGGCCCGGGAGGGCCGUACCUCCCACGUGCGUUCUCACACGUAGGCGGGCGCCCCGAGCGGCCGCCCCACGCACCACACGCGGCAGCCUCGCUCCGGCCCUCAGCCCGGGGGCCGCGGGGCCGAGGGCGGCGGCCGGGGCUGCGGUGCUGCGCCCCAGCACGUACCGGGGCGUGGCCUGCAGCGCGGCGGGCGGGGCUUGGGGAAGUUUCUCCCGCAGGCUCGUUUCGUAUCCUCAUCAUGUAGUAGCCCCGGCACCAGGGACGGGGGGUAUCCGGUCCCUUCCGCAUCCUUGGUAUUUUCCCCGCCGAGGUCUGAUCGCUGCCACUCAGGCACCUGUCUUUCCUCUCCGUCCCGGAAUGGAGUCAAGGGAAUAAAAGAAAUUAAAUAGUACAAGGAGAUCGGGUGUCUGGGCAGCGUCUUGGAUAAAACCGUCCACUACAGGCCUAUUAUGCCCUCGUAAAACCACUCACCAGCAUCCAGAAGUUUCCUCACACGCAAAUAACUGAUGGUAAGCCUCAUAACAGAAGCCUUAUCAAGAUGCGAGCUCACAUUAUGGGGAAGUGGCAACUGAUGAGCAAGCUCAUAAAAAACUUCAGACUCUUUACUUCGCCGAGACCUCGCUGCAUCUCUAGACUUUUCUUUUCGACGUUCAGAACUUAUCCUAUUUAACAAAAAAGAAAGAGGAGGAAAGAAAAGAGAAAAUUUAUUUUAGUUUGCCUGUGCUUGAAUAAAACUUUUUAGAUUGUUCUUACCACAGUUGGAAUAGAAGAUGCAUGUAAUUAAAUUAUAUAGAAAGA